UUGGUUAGAACUUAACCAAUCCCGAUUCGCAAUGAGCGGGAUGAGAAGCGUCACGCCGGCAACGCUUCCACGAGGCCCAAGGGCCAUUGGAAAAACAGUCAAC
rfam:Pseudomonas sp. HPB0071 genomic scaffold aczIi-supercont1.1, whole genome shotgun sequence.